rnacentral:rRNA from 2 species
CCUACGGGCGGCAGCAGUGGGGAAUAUUGCACAAUGGGCGCAAGCCUGAUGCAGCGACGCCGCGUGCGGGAUGACGGCCUUCGGGUUGUAAACCGCUUUUGAUCGGGAGCAAGCCUUCGGGUGAGUGUACCUUUCGAAUAAGCACCGGCUAACUCCGUGCCAGCAGCCGCGGUAAUACGUAGGGUGCAAGCGUUAUCCGGAAUUAUUGGGCGUAAAGGGCUCGUAGGCGGUUCGUCGCGUCCGGUGUGAAAGUCCAUCGCUUAACGGUGGAUCUGCGCCGGGUACGGGCGGGCUGGAGUGCGGUAGGGGAGACUGGAAUUCCCGGUGUAACGGUGGAAUGUGUAGAUAUCGGGAAGAACACCAAUGGCGAAGGCAGGUCUCUGGGCCGUUACUGACGCUGAGGAGCGAAAGCGUGGGGAGCGAACAGGAUUAGAUACCCCUGUAGUC